UGGGGGGCAGAUACCUGGGCAGGUCUAAGCAGUAAUCUGUCCACCACUAGUCCUCCCUACAGCAUCACUGCUCUCUGAUGACCGUGGUGAAUUGAGAGAAAUCGCCACGGACAGAUACGGAGCAGACAUUU
ensembl:scaRNA small Cajal body-specific RNA 8